rnacentral:tRNA from 1 species
GUGGGAAUAGCUCAGUUGGUAGAGCGUUGCCUUGCCAUGGCAAAGGUCGCGGGUUCGAAUCCCGUUUCCCACUCCA